GGUUUUUUUCCCGUUAAUUUGCAGUAAUUAUGUUGUAUAUGUAACGGCACCAGUUACAUGAUGCAUCUUUUUGAUUUCGUAGAAAAAUCUUACCAGUAUUUUGUUUUCAAAAUAGAAUGUAUACAUAUUUGCCAGUUAUAGUCUACCCUUCUGUAGCCAAACUGCAGUAGUAAUAAAACAGCAGAUAAUGAAUUAAAGAAAUGGGC
rnacentral:lncRNA from 1 species